GAGUUUGAUCGUGGCUCAGAUUGAACGCUGGCGGCAUGCCUUACACAUGCAAGUCGAACGGCAGCAUGAUCUAGCUUGCUAGAUUGAUGGCGAGUGGCGAACGGGUGAGUAAUACAUCGGAACGUGCCCUGUAGUGGGGGAUAACUAGUCGAAAGAUUAGCUAAUACCGCAUACGACCCGAGGGUGAAAGUGGGGGACCGCAAGGCCUCAUGCUAUAGGAGCGGCCGAUGUCUGAUUAGCUAGUUGGUGGGGUAAAGGCCCACCAAGGCGACGAUCAGUAGCUGGUCUGAGAGGACGAUCAGCCACACUGGGACUGAGACACGGCCCAGACUCCUACGGGAGGCAGCAGUGGGGAAUUUUGGACAAUUGGCGAAAGCCUGAUCCAGCAAUGCCGCGUGUGUGAAGAAGGCCU
rnacentral:rRNA from 1 species